AAUGACUUUAACAAGCAGUUUUGGAGAAAACGUUGUAAAAAUAAGUCUUUGUCUACCACCUCUUCAUAUUUAUCUCCUGUCGCUUAUCCUCUUUUUUUGUGUUGUCUUUAUCUUCAUUUUAGUCUUCUAUCCAUGUUCUCUUGUCUUGAAAUGUGUGCAUUUCCCUCCUACACUUCUACCUUAAAAAGCCUCAGGCCUAACACUUUUGACAAAGAUACAUGCAGACUUUAAAAGCAAAGAAUUCAUCAUAUUUAUUGUCUCGCUGCCAAAUAGGGCACAAAUAAUCCACUCCAAUUAGGUGUUUGUGGCAUGAAAAUUGGAUUUUCUCUCUCUUAUGAAAACGCAUAUUCCAGAACACCAUUGUUGAUUCUGAAUUCCAGCAACGACAAGAGAACAACAUGCCAGGUUGAUUUCACACAACCAUCUGCAUAUAGAGGCCGUAGGUAAAUAUAGAUCUGUAUCUUCAGUGCACACUUUGUUUUUACUGUAUUGAGGCCGUUAUUGUCCUUCCCGUGUGGCCGUAUACAUAUCAAUGUGACUGAAUCUCACAAUCCAUGAACUGAUGUCUCAGCCAGCGUACAAAGGAGAACUGCUGUCUUUUUUCGAGAGGCGUUUAUUGUCUUCCAACCCAGAGCAAGCAAACAAACAAAGUCGUGAGGCAUCUAUUGAGCAGAUUGCAGCGCACAUGAUUUAGUCUCAAGGCUUUGGGCUUUUAUGUCCACAUGAUUGUGUGCAUCUUCAUAUUGUUUGGUUUCAGACGUCUUCCAUUAUCAUAUAGAUAACUGAACAUUGUUACUUGGAUAUGAGAAGCUGUGGCUAAUGUAAUGUCAUCUCUUUGGCGUGCGAGUCACUUUUUCCUCGCUUUUAUGAUCCUGUCUUUCUACUUUAUGGGAAGAUUGGAGACCAGAGAAAAGGGGGAAAAUACUAUGGAUUUUUGCACUCAAUAAAUCAAUGACCUACUUUGGUAUUUUGUGAAACCUUGCUUAUUUUUCACAUGCCCAUGGCGGUCAUUCUGUUUAUUUUGCUCUGUGUUUGUGUGUUUCUUGGAGUGUGUAUGGCAUCAUUCAGGUCCCAAGAGGGUGUUUCGGAUCUAUACUCAUUGGCCGGUUGCUGCGGUCGAGCUCGAGUUCAGAUCUGAUAGGACCGAAGAGACGCAGCCUCUAUAGAGGGACUCAGACAGGGUGGGAGGAGAUCCCAGCAGGGUUCAUCUGCUCACCAAUGGGUUUGUGGUCUGAAGACAAGCAGCACUCAUCUCUUUCACAUCCUUUAUAGGUCAGUUCCUAUUUUUACUCCUUUUCUAUAUCCGUACACCCCAUUGUUGUCGACCGACACAAGCCAAGACUGCCGUAUUGGUAAACAAAUCAAUUACUGCUUCACAAUGGCUGGGAUGUGCUCAUCAAAGACACAUUAUCGCUCUGUGCCGUAUUGUUUCAUCAUGACACCUCUAAUCAUGGUUAUCAUGGGCUAGUAGUUUCCAUGGCUACACUAUAACAGUCAGCCAAUGAAGUGCCCCAUCCCAGUCCGGCAGAACAGCCAUCAGCCAGUCAGCCAUAAAACUAAGUGGCCAGAUCGGACCUUCA